rnacentral:lncRNA from 1 species
GUCCCAACUUCGGAGGACCUGGGCGCGGAGGGCUGUGGCGUGAAGACCGCUCUAAAACCGAGAUGACUAGAGGUUCCGUUUAACCGAUUCCUGCCGGGGAAGCGUCAGCAGGUGGGGAUCUCGGGGCAGCCUGCAUUCCAGCUCUACCUGGGAUUGUCGCCGUGCACAUGGCUGGAGGAGCGUCUCUCCGCCACUGCGCACAUUUUGCAGCCUGCACCGGCCAACGCAAAGAAUGGCCGAGUGGAUUCUGAGGACCGGAGGAGCCGCCACUGCCCGUACCUGGACACCAUUAACAGAGAAAGUGACUGCAAUGGAAAGUCCUGAACUGGUUACAAACACUAAUGAGAAAGAGGCUCGUGGGUAUUAUGUGUCUGGUGGAGACACCUCAACAGUGCUUUGGAGCAUGGCGGGUGGAGGAGUGUGCUGGACUUUGACUUUGAGAAACUGUGUUCUAUCUCCCUCUCACACAUCAAUGCUUAUGCCUGUCUGGUGUGUGGCAAGUACUUUCAAGGCCGGGGUUUGAAGUCUCACGCCUACAUUCACAGUGUCCAGUUUAGCCACCAUGUUUUCCUCAACCUCCACACCCUCAAGUUUUACUGCCUUCCAGACAACUAUGAGAUCAUCGAUUCCUCAUUGGAGGAUAUCACG